ensembl:rRNA 5S_rRNA 5S ribosomal RNA
GCCUGAUUAGUACUUGGAUGGGAGACUGCCUGGGAAUACCAGGU